GAUGAACGCUGGCGGCGUGCCUAAUACAUGCAAGUCGAGCGAACGGACGAGAAGCUUGCUUCUCUGAUGUUAGCGGCGGACGGGUGAGUAACACGUGGAUAACCUACCUAUAAGACUGGGAUAACUUCGGGAAACCGGAACUAAUACCGGAUAAUAUUUUGAACCGCAUGGUUCAAAAGUGAAAGACGGUCUUGCUGUCACUUAUAGAUGGAUCCGCGCUGCAUUAGCUAGUUGGUAAGGUAACGGCUUACCAAGGCAACGAUGCAUAGCCGACCUGAGAGGGUGAUCGGCCACACUGGAACUGAGACACGGUCCAGACUCCUACGGGAGGCAGCAGUAGGGAAUCUUCCGCAAUGGGCGAAAGCCUGACGGAGCAACGCCGCGUGAGUGAUGAAGGUCUUCGGAUCGUAAAACUCUGUUAUUAGGGAAGAACGUAUGUGUAAGUAACUGUGCACAUCUUGACGUUACCUAAACAGAAAGCCACGGCUAACUACGUG
rnacentral:rRNA from 1 species